UGCUCCGAGGAGAGGUGUAGACUAUCUCUUGGAUUUUGCUUGGAGGAUGUCCUUUCCGGACUCAGGACCUAGGAGAGACCAGCAGGAAACAGAACAGAGUCUACAUAGGUGAAUAUCAAAGAAUCACCUGGAGAGAUUUACAGGCAACAGACUGGGACAAAAGGCCUGAGUCACAGACCAGUGAUUGGCAAAACAGAGAAGCUGAAGCAACUGUACAGCAAGCAGGAGCUCACACACGGGAGCCUACCUCUGGGAAUGCCGAGAAGUCAAUGCAAUGGUCACAUCUCAGGUUGUCUGGACACACAGACGGUUCACAAAUCCCGGGAUGGACCAGGAAGGCCAUUCAGUGAGAUUGUGUUGAACUGGGGAGUGGUGACAGUAAACAUUGACAUUAUGGUCCUACAUACAUAUCAUACGUUCCAUUAGUGUCCUACAUAAGUUAUAACCUGCUUACUCCUCCCAGUGCCCUUGAGAGAUCAGCCUGCUAAUUCCCACUCCAGAGUCAGGGAAGCUAAGUGCUGGGGACUCAGGAAACUUGACUGCGUUUAUAGCCAGUGAGUGGCAAAGCUGAUGUUUGAAUCCGUGUUUCGUGUUUCAGAGUCUUGGGAAGCUACGGUUUUUGUCCAUGGUGAGUCCUUGUUCUAUUCUUGACCAAACCUGGCCCAACUUUCAGGCCCUACUCCAUCACGCAGUUUCCUGUCUACAGUGUCCCCUGCUUCACUGUGUUUCAGGGGCUGAGUUGCUACACCACCCUAGAUGGUGGGCUGAGGGGCCUCUUCUGAUGAACUCCCUUCAGAAUGCAUUCCCUUCACAUCUGUUACCUCUUGCGGUGUGGGUCGCUGCUCUGUGGAAGUUGGACAGAACCCUUGGAACCUCCCGUGUGAUUCUGAAGUCUAGUGCAAACUCCAGUCAGUAAACUAAGAGAAACCAUUUUUAGUCAAAGGAAGCAAGGAACACUCCAACCAGCCCAGACUGACUUUCUUCUGUGGUUAAAAAUCUGGAUCUCCAUGUAAUUGCAACUGGGAAGAUCCUGCU
rnacentral:lncRNA from 1 species